rnacentral:rRNA from 1 species
GACGAACGCUGGCGGCGUGCUUAACACAUGCAAGUCGAACGGUAAGGCCCUUCGGGGUACACGAGUGGCGAACGGGUGAGUAACACGUGGGUGAUCUGCCCUGCACUUCGGGAUAAGCCUGGGAAACUGGGUCUAAUACCGGAUAGGACCACUGCCUGCAUGGGUGGUGGUGGAAAGCUUUUGCGGUGUGGGAUGGGCCCGCGGGCUAUCAGCUUGUUGGUGGGGUGAUGGCCUACCAAGGCGACGACGGGUAGCCGGCCUGAGAGGGUGACCGGCCACAGUGGGACUGAGAUACGGCCCAGACUCCUACGGGAGGCAGCGGUGGGGAAUAUUGCACAAUGGGCGCAAGCCUGAUGCAGCGACGCCGCGUGAGGGAUGACGGCCUUCGGGUUGUAAACCUCUUUCAGCACCGACGAAGCGCAAGUGACGGUAGGUGCAGAAGAAGGACCGGCCAACUACGUGCCAGCAGCCGCCGUAA